CGCGGGCGCGUGCUGCCUUAUAAGCGCAGGGGGUGGGCCGGCGGGCUGGUCGCUGGCCUCUGAGCUCUGCUCUGCUGGGUGUGCGGGCGCCAUGUCGGGCCGCGAAGGUGGCAAGAAGAAGCCCCUGAAGCAGCCCAAGAAACAGGCCAAGGAGAUGGACGAGGAAGAUAGAGCGUUCAAACAGAAGCAAAAGGAAGAGCAGAAGAAACUUGAGGAGCUAAAAACGAAGGCCGCGGGAAAGGGCCCCCUGGCCACAGGUGGAAUUAAGAAAUCUGGCAAAAAAUAAACUGUUCCUUGUGUGUACGAUGAUGACGACCCUGGAUUCCAUUCCUAUUCAGAUAUCUGGAUGCCCUCCCAUAAAAUCUCUUGACACCUAUAACUACAGUGAAGUGUGUUCUUGGAGUCUGUUGUACAUGUAAGAAUAAAAUUUUAUAAAAAA